GGAGUGUUAAACAUUUUUAAGGACCGGAGCGACGGUCCGCCGGUUCAUUCGAAAACAUGAGUCAUGGCGCCGUGGCAUUUUGCUUAAUAUUUUUUGUGUAUUCAAUUAAAGCCUAUUACAUGAUAAGAGUAUCCUUGAGAGCAUCUUAAAUAAUAGAACAACAAAAAAUGAGGUGCGGCACGAUCCGUUCAUGUGGGCAUGAGUCGAGGCGUCG
rnacentral:lncRNA from 1 species